AUUAACUAUAUGUUUUUUCACUAGGUAAAUCGAAUUUUUUGUCCUUUAAUGAGUCGAUAUGUAGAUAAUAGAUAUAUCUAUGUGCAUAUAUUCUAACGGAUAUUCUAAUAAUAUCUAUAUUAAGAAGUAUAUUCAGUAACAAAUAUCUGUAUUAGACUCAUAUUGGCUUAUUGCUGAAUAAGGAAUUGAAUCAAGCGGAGCCCUUUUAACUCAGUGGUAGAGUAACGCCAUGGUAAGGCGUAAGUCAUCGGUUCAAAUCCGAUAAGGGGCUUUGAGCCCGACCCUUUUUCAUUCUCAUAAAACAAAACUUCAGCAGUAGUAUUGGUCUUUUGUAGUUUUCGUAUAUAAAUGCAAAAUAGAGAU